rnacentral:rRNA from 1 species
UACGUAGGGUGCGAGCGUUGUCCGGAAUUAUUGGGCGUAAAGAGCUCGUAGGCGGUCUGUUGCGUCGGGAGUGAAAACUUACAGCUUAACUGUGAGCGUGCUUCCGAUACGGGCAGACUUGAGGUAUUCAGGGGAGAACGGAAUUCCUGGUGUAGCGAUGAAAUGCGCAGAUAUCAGGAGGAACACCGGUGGCGAAGGCGGUUCUCUGGGAAUAUCCUGACGCUGAGGAGCGAAAGUGUGGGGAGCGAACAGG